GCGAAAACGAUAACGAAAAAUGCAGUUAGCCGAGACACGGUUCGACAAACGAUAAGUUUCAUAAUACUUCCGCGAGAUAGCGCUGCUUUCUAUGCGCUGUCACCAAGGCAAACUUUUUCCUUGCGAAAUAAUGGUCAAUGGUAUUAUUUCGCACGGAGGCUCGCGAAAUUUUGACAGGUUGCAAUGAAAAAAUAUAAAAAAACACAAGAUUAGUAAUUUUUUGUAUUUUUUUUCAUCGCGACCUGUCAAAAUUUUGUAGUUUUGAGAAUCAAUAUUUUGAAUUUGAAUGGCACACCCGAACAAAGCAGCCACAAGAGCAGCAUUUUUCGUCAGCAGCAGAAGCAGCAGCCAUCUAUCUACUUGAUAAGUUUUCAUCAACAACAACCAGAUGCUAUAAAUCAGCUCAACUUGACUCAACAUCCUGGAUCUGGCAAUCAGCCAACCAACAUUAAAUCGAUACAACCGUAGCAGUACCAACAACUCCAAAUCCAGCAGCUGCCAACAAUCUCUCAAAAAAGAACCACAGCAAUUACAGCUCAGAACCAACAAAGCAACAAGAGCUUUUUUUACGAAUAAUGGACCCAACACUUUAUCGGCACAUUCUGUCGUAAAACUUGCCUGCCACUAUUCUUACCAGCGGUUACCUUCCUGAUGUAGAGAAAUCAGAGUCAAACACAAACGUCAUAUUACUGCCUUGGCUCCUACCAGUUGCUUGCAUGAAAAUAUCGCUGCCUCCACAGUGCUCGUGAUUCCAUCCCAGCAGCAGCUAGCAACCACAAUUCCAGUGCUUAUCGCCAGCAACAUCAGAAAAUUAAGAUUUCCCCUAGACCAUGACCAUCAUCCGACAGAUCGGUAGCAACAACGUUCAACUGACGGUAGAAACUGGCCAGCAACCGCAACUAGUGCAAUCGAUCCAAGCCAAUCAGGGCCAAAUGUAGAAGACCAUUGGUCAAUCGCAAAAAAAGAUACAUCAACAGCACCUUCAAACACAGUAGCAGCAGCAUACUGUACUGUACCACGCCUCGUGCAGGAGGACUUUUUUUAUUCAGUUGAUGCAGCAAGAUCGAACAGCAACCAUAGCGGAUACACAUCACCGAACACCAGCAACAUAAUGCCAUGGUAACCACCCAGCAGCAGAACACGGUGAUAAUGGGUCAACAGUAAAUACAACAUCAAGAUCCUCGGAAAGGACUUUCUCUUUCGAACAAACAUAAUGGAAGCAUACUCUACACGCGCGACAUAUUCAAUCGGGCCAACCGUGUGACUCGUUUGGAAAAAAGCGCUCAUCAUCGGUUUCAUGGCAGCGAAGUGAGCAGACAAAAGAAGGCGUUUUUUCCGCAAGGUCGCUCUAGGCAAAAGUUCAGCCAAUUGCAAGGAAUAAACCACCGGAGUGACAGUAUCCGUGCUGUUUGGGACCUUUUUCCAUAUAUUGUAGCUUUUGAAUUUUAAUACCCGGUCGAAACGAUGGCAAGUGCUGCCGAUAACUGGGUCAAAAAGGCGGAGGGAGGAUCAGGAAAUUUCUGCACUUGGUUAUCGAUCUGAGUAUCCCUAAGGAUAAGGAACCAGAGCCGGCGGCUGACAGCCCAAAGAAAGAGAAUGCGGAAAAACCUACUAGUUCACCGCCAGUAGAACCAGCGAUCAAAUUACUCCCGUAGAAACGGCUGCACCUGCAGUUUUGUUUUCGGUAGCUACAGAAAUUAAGACUUUAGCAGCUCCUGAAGAAAAAAAAAGCUGCUAGCGAAAAUGGCGAAACAGCUUCCACCACGGAAGAUGCAGAGGCAUUCAACCCGGCGGAUGCAAGUUUGCUAAUUAAACUUAUUCGAAAGGUCUAGUAGAAUCAAAGCUGGAUCUGGGGGUGAAGGAUCCUUCUUCGCCGCAAUACUUGGUUAAAACUUUCGAAGCUUUGCACAUGAAUUCGGAACUGCUUCAGGGAGUCUAUGCUAUGGGUUUCAACGCUCCUUCCAAGAUUCAGAAGACGGCUUAACCUACUCUGUUGGCCGAUCCGCCACAGAACAUAAUCGCCCAGAGUUGGUCGGGAACAAGAAAAACCACUGCCUUCGUGCUGGCAAUGCUCAAUCGAGUCGAUCCGUUGAAAAACUAUCCGCAGGUGAUUUGCCUUUCCCCACGUAUGAACUGGCAAUUCAGAAGGGGAAAGUAGCUGCAAAACGGCAAAGUUUUGUGCGGAAAUCGAACUUGGUUAAACCGUUCGCGGUGAGAAGAUCGUCAAAGGGGCGAAGCUGACUAAUCAUAUCAUCAUCGGAACAGCCGGGCGUUCGACCUUAAGAAGAUUGCAAUUUUUGUACCGGACGAGGCGGGCGUUAUGAUCGCUGUUUCUUUUUAGCCACGUACGAGCGGGAGGUGAUGGGAUUCGCCCAGUACAUCGUAACCAAUCCGAUCAUGAUUCUUCUGGUGCGGGAGCAAGAAUCACUCGAUAACACCAAACACUACUACGUCAAAUGCCGCAACCAGGACGAGAAAUAUCAAGCAAUUUCAAACAUGUACGGUGUGAUUACCGUCGGACAAGCGAUCAUUUUCUGUCAUAUGAUGUAUAGGAUAGUUGUAAACUCCAAGUAAACUUAUUUUCGGCAUUGUUAAUCGAUCGAAACAGGCACGCAAAACGGCCGGUUGGACCAGGAUAAUCACUCAGUAGCGGUACUGUCCGGUGAUCUAACGGCGGAGCAACGGUUGGCCGUUCUGGAUCGAUCCUGAGCCGGACUAUAUAAGAUAUUGAUUGCAACGAACGUUUAGUCUAGGGGUAUCGAUGUUGAACAGGUGACCAUUGUCAUCAACUUCGACCUGCCGAUGGAUUAGCAGGGACGAGCCGAUUGCGAAACGUAUCUACAUCGAAUUAGACGCACCGGUAGAUUCGAACGGAAUCACCAUCAACCUAGUAGGCAGUGAUCGAAGCAUGAUUUGCAGAUCAAUCGAAAAACACUUCCGGAAAAAGAUUCAGUUGCUAGACGCGGAGAACUCGGACGAAAUUGAAAAGAUCGCACCGUAAAGUGUUUUCGACCAGCUACUGGUGAAAGGCAUAGGAGCUUUUUUGGGUCAUACUUGUUAUGAUUCUGAAUUUAUAAUUUUAUUAAUUUGUUUUUCUUCCUUGACCUGACAUAUGUAACCAACAGGGUAAUAAAUUUACAAUUAAAAUUACAAUUUAUCUCUACCCAGUUCUAUCCAAACAUUUGAAAAGGGCCUAACUGCAAAAUGUAACAAAUUGAAAUUUCAUGUUUUCCAUUAACAAAUAUCUACCCGAGCACGUACAUAACGCAACAUUUGAUCAUGAAGAAUUUUGAUAGCGAUUUUACAACAAUUAAUAAAAGGGCCUAAUUGAUUUUUAUGACCGAACUGAUUAUGAAAGGACCUAACUGAUUGAAAAGUGCCUAACUAGCAAUACACUCGUUUUAAAUGGAUUAUAACGUAUUAUUGUAUUAUGACUGAUUGUAAAAGGCUUAUAACAUCUUUUCCAUAAUUUACAUACAGGGUCAAUCUGACCAUCAAAUUAGAAUUCAGUUAAUUCGUCUAACUUUCGGUGUAAUAUCAGACUUGAACAGCAUUUUUUGUGUGAAGUAUUCUGCCGCUAGAAGCAAAACUGUCCCAUGUGCUAUGGGAAUCCCUAUACACAUGGGACAAUUAUGCUUCUUGUGGCAGUAAUACAAGUAGUAGCAAUAUGCGCAAUUCCUUAAACCUCUAGUGUUUCAUGCAAUAAGAAUUACCACGAAUUACUUAUGGAAAUAAAUUUGAACUACGAUUCUCACAAUUGUUAUACCAAAAA